rnacentral:tRNA from 1 species
GGCCUUGUAGUGUAGCGGUUAUCACAUCGGAUUCUGAUUCCGGUAACCCAGGUUCGAUUCCUGGCAUGGCCU